GCAGAGUAAGCAAGGCGCGUUAAGUGUUGCGAAAUGGGAUGUUGUUCGCAAACGAAAAUCGCGGAGCGAUUGCGGUGUCUUGUUGCGUCCGUUG
rnacentral:ncRNA from 1 species